GUGAUGGUCAUGUAUUAUCUCCUCAAAAAAUCCACCACUCAUACAUAAUUUUCUCGAUGUUCAUUCAAGUCCACAUUAGACACGUAAUUCUUCACCGCCUCCUUCUUCCGAUCAAUCUCUUCCCCCACCUUCUAAAUCGACCAACACUUCUCUGUAGGCAUUUAUCCCUUCCACCGUCUUUCUUUUCCAUCACCAUCUUCAUCUCCAACACUACUCCCACCUCUUAUCUAUCCCUUGACCGAUGAUUCGUCUUCAUCGGCCCUUGCACGAACAGUAUCUCGACGAAGAUACCAAACCACCACCACUACAACUCUACAACUGGGACCCAUCGUUAAACAUGCUUUACCGAUCCCGGAGAACGUACAACUGAAGAACCGAUUCCGCCCAUUAAGCCCUAAUUUAGUGGAGCCUAGCAAUGUUGUCGGUUCGGUGUACAACCAUGGACGACGAUUUCAUAAUGUUUCAAGGUUUCUUCGAUGUUCACCACAACCACUUGAGAAACUCGAGGCAAAAUAAUCAUGGCUGACCAUUCAGAUGAUUUAAACCAAGUGGUUUCAUAUGUUCGAAUUCUGCUCCUUUUUUUGGUUAAUGUGUCUUUUACAUUUGGCUGAAGUCUUGUGUUUAGCAUCGAAAACUACUGUUGAGGACUGUUAUUUAUGAUAAUCCACAGGCUGAUGACGAAGAUGAAUUAGUUAUGGAGCUCUCUGAAAAAGAUUUGCUCUUGGAAAAAAAGAAGUUUAGGAUUCUCAAUUUCGCAUAGUUGUAUAUGUUUCUCCACUCUAUUAUGCACUACAUUGAUUUUUAUCUUGCUAAAUGGUUUCUCAAUCUCAUCUUUCUUUACAGAAAUUAUUAGAAAUCAACCAUUUUGACCCUAAUGGAAAAGUCAAAAUCAAGAGCAUUUGUAGCAUUGAGUUACUGAAUAUGCUAAAAUCAAAAUCAACCAUUAGAAGAGAUGCUUCAGAGAGCUCGAAUCAUAAAUGCAGAUGAGUGUUUAAGAAGCUUGCACAAAGCUAAAAGUUAUGGCAACUUUUAGAAUUCUUGGGUUGAUGGCUUCCUGGUAUGCAGAAUUGUUGAGGGCCAAAGGCAAAGGUAUUCCAAGAGGCUUAAUGACCGACAAAUCCCUGCCCUUCUUGAGGUCACAUGUCACUGACGUCAGGAAAGGAAGAAGGAUAGUUUGAAGGUUCUGAUAUAGGGGUAAUUCCGUCGAAUUCAUAAUUGGCAGAAUUUAAAUUUGUGUAUUUGUAAAUUUUUAAGGUUAAAGGAAUGAUACAUGUUGGAGUGGUAUUUUAUGGAAUCAAUGUAGCUCAUCAGGAGCUCUCGAAACCAAAACUAAAGGAUUAGUUGUCUUAAGAAAUAUGUAAAAAAUGUCAUAUCCAACCCCGCAAAGUGGGGCUCUUCCCUA